rnacentral:lncRNA from 1 species
AUGUGGUUGUCUUGCCUGGCAGUAUCGACAUCGUUACUAUGUACAAAAUUUAAAAGUAAAUAAACUCCGGACAAAGCAAUAUCGUCCCUACCUGGAAUCGUCAACCAGAGUCGAGGUCAACCUUUCCGGUAGUCCCCGACCAGUAUAAAUAAACGAACAUGCUCUCUAGGACGAUCAUUUUCUGGUAUCCUUACAGCGAGUAGCAUUGAGCGAGCAACGAUUCAGGCGUAUUAUACCAACUCUGUAUUCUAUAUUUAAACAAGCUGGCCGAAGAAAAAUCCAAGAGGUCGGGACGCGACGAAGCUUCCUGUGCGGAAACAAAAAUCACCUAAGUGCGAACUGCCCAACGAAAAGCAAAGUUGCCAGGUGUUUCAAAUGCCAGGAGUACGGACACAUCGCAUCGCAAUUUAACAAUGUCGAAUGCGUAGUGGAGAUAUUUGUAUGAGGAUAUCAGUGUGUGGAGAUAUGUGUGUGCGCGGCGACUGAAAAACAGAUGAAUGUAAACAGUUUGGUCGGUUAACAGUCUACGAAAGGUCGGGUAUGGAAGAAAGUGCUAAGACGCGUGCAAGUAUGUAUCGAUGAAUAUUCUAGAAGUCGUUUAUAAAAUAAAUAUGUGUCUACGUUAAUAGUAAUGCCCAGUGUAAAUUUAAUGUUUCCAUAACAAUAUUUCGACCAUCAAGAUCCACAAUUCUCUACAAUUAUUUUUUC